GGCCGAUUAGGUCAGUUGGUUAGAGCGUAGUGCUAAUAAUGGGGAGGUCUUGGGUUCGAUCCCUAUAUUGGCCA